rnacentral:rRNA from 1 species
GAUGAACGCUGGCGGCGUGCUUAACACAUGCGAGUCGAACGGAAAGGCCGUGAUUUCGUGCGCUGCUCGAGUGGCGAACGGGUGAGUAACACGUGAGUAACCUGCCCUUGACUUUGGGAUAAGUUCAGGAAACUGGGGCUAAUAUCGGAUAGGAGCUGCUGCUGCAUGGUGGGGAUUGGAAAGUCUCGGCGGUGGGGGAUGGACUCGCGGCUUAUCAGCUUGUUGGUGGGGUAGUGGGUGGCCAAGGCUUUGACGGGUAGCCGGCCUGGGAGGGUGACCGGGCACAUGGGGACUGAGAUACGGCCCAGACUCCUACGGGGGACAACAGGGGGGAAUAUUGCCCAAUGGGCGGAAGCCUGAUGCAGCAACGCCGCGUGCGGGAUGACGGCCUUCGGGUUGUAAACCGCUUUCGCCUAUGACGAAGCGUGAGUGACGGUAAUGAAAGAAGAAGCACCGGCUAACUACGUG